CCUCGGGAAGGCAGCAGUGAGGAAUAUUGGACAAUGGACGAAAGUCUGAUCCAGCCAUGCCGCGUGCAGGAUGACGGCCCUAUGGGUUGUAAACUGCUUUUAUACAGGAAGAGACACUCCCACGUGUGGGGGCUUGACGGUACUGUACGAAUAAGGAUCGGCUAACUCCGUGCCAGCAGCCGCGGUAAUACGGAGGAUCCAAGCGUUAUCCGGAAUUAUUGGGUUUAAAGGGUCCGCAGGCGGUCUAUUAAGUCAGAGGUGAAAUCCUGCAGCUCAACUGUAGCAUUGCCUUUGAUACUGAAAGACUUGAGUUAUUGUGAAGUAGUUAGAAUGUGUAGUGUAGCGGUGAAAUGCAUAGAUAUUACACAGAAUACCGAUUGCGAAAGCAGAUUACUAACAAUAUACUGACGCUGAGGGACGAAAGCGUGGGUAGCGAACAGGAUUAGAUACCCUGGUAGUCCACGCCGUAAACGAUGGAUACUAGCUGUUCGAUCAACACUGGUUGAUUGAGUGGUUAAGCGAAAGUGAUAAGUAUCCCACCUGGGGAGUACGCUCGCAAGAGUGAAACUCAAAUGAAUUGACGG
rnacentral:rRNA from 1 species